AUAAAGAUAGAAACUGAGGUCCACACGGGUUGAGGGGACAGGCCACAGCAGUUGAACCAAGCAGUGGCUGAGUCGGUCCUGGAGCUCAAGCCUCAUGACUCCAUCACGGUGUUCUUCACAUGGUACCAUCAGGAAUCAAUGAACAGAAUUUGAGGCUGGAAGCGAAUACAGAUUUUGGAUGCCAGAAAGAUCUGCAGUUUCACUGCUGUUGUUUGUCGCUAUUGUUAUGAGGACAGGCACCUGUUCCCACACUCCUGGGUCUCUCCAUCAGUAAACACAUGCUUCCUGUGCUGGGAAAUAAAUGCAUCUUUAUACCAUCCUCAACCACCAGAAUUCAAUGGAAUGAGCAACGAGGAACACAGGGAAGAAGGCAGAUGCUUCCCAUCGCUCUGUAGAGAUAGGCUCAAUGAUUCUUGUCCUUGAUGGCAACAAAACUCAGGAACAUGUUUACCAAGUAAGGUGAUAAUGAUGGAAACAGAAACAGUAUUUAAGUCUCUCUAGUUCUUUCCUGAGGCACUUACUUCUAGAUUUUGGACUUCUGCAAAAACAAACUUCUAGGAAAGCUCUGAACCUCUUUUCCAUGAAUGCACCUGAAAGACCACACAAGCACAUACAGAAUUGGAAUUUAUGACUGUUACCUAGAUUUAACAAAAUUCCUGUAUGUGUGGUAUAAUUACGGACCUGGUUAUUCUCUACAAAGCGUUCUCAAAGCUAAGACAAAUGUACUCCUUUGAAACUAUUUAUUUUUGAAGCCUAAUUAUCAAAUACAGAAGUUUGUGCACUUAGCCAUAGUUUACCUACCCCACUGCAAACAGGAUGUGCCACUAGCUCAGACCCUCUGUACUGACAACUGAAUGCCCCAAAGCCUGUUUAUUUAUCUGUCUCUCACUUUUUUUUUUUUCCUUAGGAAGGGGAAAGCCUGAUUGUAAACUAACCUUAAGAAAUGUUGCUCCCCACUCAGCCUUUGAAGACAUGAAAUAUCCUUAAGUGGGAAUAUAUUGGGUUUGUCACAGAUUUUGAGAAAAAAAUAGUAUGCCUCCUUCUAAGUGACAGGGGAGAAGAAAAAGAAAAAACAACAACCAGACAUUGUGAUGAAUUAUUCUCAUUUCUUCCAUAUAUGUAAACUAAACGUUGCAUGAAACUGACAGGCACUAAUUUGAGAUUAUAACUCUGGUUUUAAUA